UACGGGGGGGGCAAGCGUUGUUCGGAAUUACUGGGCGUAAAGGGCUCGUAGGCGGCCAACUAAGUCAGACGUGAAAUCCCUCGGCUUAACCGGGGAACUGCGUCUGAUACUGGAUGGCUCGAGUUUGGGAGAGGGAUGCGGAAUUCCAGGUGUAGCGGUGAAAUGCGUAGAUAUCUGGAGGAACACCGGUGGCGAAGGCGGCAUCCUGGACCAACACUGACGCUGAUGAGCGAAAGCCAGGGGAGCAAACAGG
rnacentral:rRNA from 1 species